rnacentral:rRNA from 1 species
GAUGAACGCUGGCGGCGUGCCUAAUACAUGCAAGUCGAGCGAACAGACGAGGAGCUUGCUCCUUCGACGUUAGCGGCGGACGGGUGAGUAAUACGUAGGUAACCUACCUAUAAGACUGGGAUAACUUCGGGAAACCGGAGCUAAUACCGGAUAAUAUUUCGAACCGCAUGGUUCGAUAGUGAAAGAUGGCUUUGCUAUCACUUAUAGAUGGACCUGCGCCGUAUUAGCUAGUUGGUAAGGUAACGGCUUACCAAGGCAACGAUACGUAGCCGACCUGAGAGGGUGAUCGGCCACACUGGAACUGAGACACGGUCCAGACUCCUACGGGAGGCAGCAGUAGGGAAUCUUCCGCAAUGGGCGAAAGCCUGACGGAGCAACGCCGCGUGAGUGAUGAAGGUCUUCGGAUCGUAAAACUCUGUUAUUAGGGAAGAACAAACGUGUAAGUAACUGUGCACGUCUUGACGGUACCUAAUCAGAAAGCCACGGCUAACUACGUG